rnacentral:rRNA from 1 species
GACGAACGCUGGCGGCGUGCUUAACACAUGCAAGUCGAACGGAAAGGCCCUGCUUUUGUGGGGUGCUCGAGUGGCGAACGGGUGAGUAACACGUGAGUAACCUGCUCUUGACUUUGGGAUAACUUCAGGAAACUGGGGCUAAUACCGGAUAGGAGCUCCUGCUGCAUGGUGGGGGUUGGAAAGUUUCGGCGGUUGGGGAUGGACUCGCGGCUUAUCAGCUUGUUGGUGGGGUAGUGGCUUACCAAGGCUUUGACGGGUAGCCGGCCUGAGAGGGUGACCGGCCACAUUGGGACUGAGAUACGGCCCAGACUCCUAGGGGAGGCAGCAGUGGGGAAUAUUGCACAAUGGGCGGAAGCCUGAUGCAGCAACGCCGCGUGCGGGAUGACGGCCUUCGGGUUGUAAACCGCUUUCGCCUGUGACGAAGCGUGAGUGACGGUAAUGGGUAAAGAAGCACCGGCUAACUACGUG